AUAUUCUUUACUGGGCUAGUUGAGCUCACCCUUUUCCUUUUUGUUCCAUUUUUCUUCUCAGGAGGCGAGAAUAUAGCGAGUACGAGUCGGGGUAUGGAAUGAAGGUUCUAGAGAGAGUUGUUUAGUAGUCCUCACUAUUUUUAUAAAAUAAUGUAUCAAUAAAUGUGAUGAGGAUUUAUUUGAGUAUAGAUAUUGUCUAGAAGAUAAUAUUUGUAUUCAAACUCACAGUUUUACUGUUGUAAUAAUAAAGUUGUAGUUGUUUCUGUACCAUGUAUUGACAACUCAGAAUGGGUGAUGUAUACCUAUUUUGGGGGCGUCACA
rnacentral:lncRNA from 1 species